rnacentral:rRNA from 1 species
UUGACGGGACCCGCACAAGCAGCGGAGCGUGUGGUUUAAUUCGUUGCUACACGAAGAACCUUACCUGGGUUUGACAUAUAGGUUGUAGGGAACUGAAAGGGACCGACCCUUCGGGGAGCCUAUACAGGUGUUGCAUGGCUGUCGUCAGCUCGUGUCGUGAGAUGUUCGGUUAAGUCCGCUAACGAGCGCAACCCUCGUCGUAUGUUAUAUGUGUCAUACGAGACUGCCGGUAAAAAGCCGGAGGAAGGCGAGGAUGAUGUCAAGUCAGCAUGACCUUUAUAUCCAGGGCUACACACACGCUACAAUGGUCUGUACAAUGGGUAGCCAAGCCGCGAGGCGGAGCCAAUCCUGAAAGCAGGCCUCAGUUCAGAUUGCAGUCUGCAACUCGACUGCAUGAAGCCGGAGUUGCUAGUAACCGCAGGUCAGCAAUACUGCGGUGAAUACGUUCCCGGGUCUU